CAAUAGCGUAUAUUAAAGUUGUUGCAGUUAAAAAGCUCGUAGUUGGAUUUCUGGUGGGAGCGAUCGGUCUGGCGCUUAGCGCGAGUACUUGCAUCGUCUCCGGCCAUCCUUGGGGAGAGUCUGUCUGGCAUUAGGUUGUCGGGCAGAGGAUCCUCAUCGUUUACUGUGAAAAAAUUAGAGUGUUCAAAGCAGGCUUAUGCCGUUGAAUAUAUUAGCAUGGAAUAAUAGGAUAGGACUUUGGUACUAUUUUGUUGGUUUGCGCACCAAAGUAAUGAUUAAUAGGGAUAGUUGGGGGUAUUCGUAUUCCGUUGUCAGAGGUGAAAUUCUUGGAUUUACGGAAGACGAACUACUGCGAAAGCAUUUACCAAGGAUGUUUNCAUUAA
rnacentral:rRNA from 1 species